AAGCGCUUGCAACCAGACUUGCGCGUGGCCGAUCAUCCUGUGCUCGCACGGGUGCACUCGGCCGCGCGCAGGCCAGCAUCGGUUUGGGUGGCUGGAUAAAGGCCUUGGGAAUGUAUCUACCCCCCGGGCGUAGACUUAUAGCCCCGAGUGUCAUGCGGCCUUCCGGGACCGAGGAACGCGCUUCGGCUCGGAUGUUGGCGUAAUGGUUGUCAGCGA
rnacentral:rRNA from 1 species